rnacentral:rRNA from 1 species
ACGGGGAGCACCACAACAGGUGGAGCCUGCGGUUUAAUCGGACUCAACGCCGGGAAAACUCACCAGGUAAGACAGCUGAAUGAUAGUCGGGCUGAAGACUCUACUUGACUAGCUGAGAGGAGGUGCAUGGCCGUCGUCAGUUCGUACUGUGAAGCAUCCUGUUAAGUCAGGCAACGAGCGAGACCCACGCCAACAGUUGCCAGCUCGUCCUCCGGGAUGGUGGGGACACUGUUGGGACCGCCUCUGCUAAAGAGGAGGAAGGAAUGGGCAACGGUAGGUCAGCAUGCCCCGAAUUAUCUGGGCUACACGCGGGCUACAAUGGGUGGGACAAUGGGUAUCGACACCGAAAGGUGAAGGCAAUCUCCUAAACCCAUCCGUAGUUCGGAUUGUGGGCUGCAACUCGCCCACAUGAAGCUGGAAUCUGUAGUAAUCGUGUCUCAAAAUGGCACGGUGAAUAUGUCCCUGCUCCUU